rnacentral:rRNA from 1 species
AGUGAACGCUGGCGGUAGGCCUAACACAUGCAAGUCGAACGGCAGCACAGUAAGAGCGUGCUCUUACUGUUGGCGAGUGGCGGACGGGUGAGGAAUACAUAGGCAUCUUCUUUGACUUGGGUGAUAACGUAGGGAAACUUCCGCUAAUACCGCAUACGAUCUACGGGUGGGAUCAAGAGUUCAUCACGGUUUUGCCGACUCAUAUAGACGGCGCCGCAUUAGCUAGUUGGGUGGGUAAGGGCCCACCAAGGCAACGAUCCGUAGCUUGCCUGAGAGGAUGAUCAGCCACACUGGAACUGAGACACGGUCCAGACUCCUACGGGAGGCAGCAGUGGGGAAUCUUGCACAAUGGGCGCAAGCCUGACCCAGCCAUGCCGCGUGAGUGAAGAAGGCCUUCGGGUUGUAAAGCCCUUUUAUUGGGAAAGAAAAGCUGUGGAUUAAACCCCGCAUGUCCUGACGGUACCCAAAGAAUAAGCACCGGCUAACUUCGUG